AGUUCCCUAGAAUUAGUCCUAUCCAUGAUUUCUCUACGUUUUAUUAACAAAUAUGAAAUAAAAAAAUACGUAUAUUACAACAUGUAAUCUUCCGACGGCCACGAUUUUACUGAUGGAAAAAAUCCAGCAGACUUAUAAAAAAAAAAAAAAAAAUGCAGCCCAAAUCAUAAUAAACUGUCGUUAAAGCCGCGGCCCAGGCCUAUUAACCGUUAAAACAAACCAGCACACCGCAUAGGCGCGCACUCUAGUCUCCGUCUCUCUCUCUCUCUCCCUCUCGGUGCACAAUGGCGGGAAAGCAACUCGCCGGCGACGGCCGACUGGCUAACAUCGCGGGAAUGUCGAAGAACCAGCUUUACAACAUCAUGUCUCAAAUGAAGAAUUUGAUAGAACAGAACCAUCAGCAGGCGAGGCAGAUCCUUUUUCAGAAUCCACUCCUCACCAAAGCUCUUUUCCAGGUUGCUAAUUUUGUCGAAUUUUUCCCCUCUUUGCUUAAAUAUUUAAAUUUGUCUACGAUGCAGAGGGUUUUGUGUAGUUAGGAUUUAGUCUCUUGUCAAAUUUGGUUUUUUUUUUUUUUUUCUUUUUCUUGAUUUGUUGAGAUAAUUUUAUAUGAUUAGGGUUCAAAGCUGUAAUGGUUCGAAUAGCUUCGGAGGAAAGUUGUUCAUUUUGGCUCCCAACGAGAAAACAAGAUUUUACCUUUGUUAAUGCUAAAUUGACGCGUGAUUUUGUCUCGGUGAUGUUUGAGAGUUGAUUGCUUGGAGAACAUAUUUGUUAGGCUUGGUCUCUGAUCGGUUUGAUUACGUCGUAGCUUUGGUUCAGGAACUAUCGAUUUUACCUUUUACUACUGAUAUGAUUGCUGGCUGUAUUUCUGGAUUUUGUAUUUGGAAUGGCGCGGCCACCUCAAGCGGUAUGCCUUUUCUUUCUCUGGAAGCCUUUUUGAAGUGUUUUCCUAGUUGUGCACUUAUGUUACAUGCUAACUUGAGGUUGUCUGUAGAUUCCCAGCAUUCAGCCACCGACAUCACAUAAUUCUCAGCAACCAAGCACUCAGGCUGCUCCCUCGUUGCCUGGUCAAGUGGGUUUACAGGACCAAACAGGGCCAUCGCGGGUCCAAGCUCCUCCGAGAAAGCAAUACCAAAACCAACCGGCAAUGCCUAGUUCAUCAGCUUAGGUGUUAAAUCUACAUCCAUUUGUUGUAUACACAAAUGCAUAAAUUAGAAAACGUUAACUACAAAGCUGUUGAUCAACGAAAUACAUCAGAAUUUUAUCUAUAUGCUAAAAGCCAUUCUGUUUUAA